AUUGAACGCUGGCGGCAGGCCUAACACAUGCAAGUCGAACGGUAACAGGAAGAAGCUUGCUUCUUUGCUGACGAGUGGCGGACGGGUGAGUAAUGUCUGGGAAACUGCCUGAUGGAGGGGGAUAACUACUGGAAACGGUAGCUAAUACCGCAUAACGUCGCAAGACCAAAGAGGGGGACCUUCGGGCCUCUUGCCAUCGGAUGUGCCCAGAUGGGAUUAGCUAGUAGGUGGGGUAACGGCUCACCUAGGCGACGAUCCCUAGCUGGUCUGAGAGGAUGACCAGCCACACUGGAACUGAGACACGGUCCAGACUCCUACGGGAGGCAGCAGUGGGGAAUAUUGCACAAUGGGCGCAAGCCUGAUGCAGCCAUGCCGCGUGUAUGAAGAAGGCCUUCGGGUUGUAAAGUACUUUCAGCGGGGAGGAAGGGAGUAAAGUUAAUACCUUUGCUCAUUGACGUUACCCGCAGAAGAAGCACCGGCUAACUCCGUGCCAGCAGCCGCGGUAAUACGGAGGGUGCAAGCGUUAAUCGGAAUUACUGGGCGUAAAGCGCACGCAGGCGGUUUGUUAAGUCAGAUGUGAAAUCCCCGGGCUCAACCUGGGAACUGCAUCUGAUACUGGCAAGCUUGAGUCUCGAGAGGGGGGUAGAAUUCCAGGUGUAGCGGCGAAAUGCGUAGAGAUCUGGAGGAAUACCGGGGCGAAGGCGGCCCCUGGACGAAGACUGACGCUCAGGUGCGAAAGCGGGGGAGCAAACAGGAUUAGAUACCCUGGAGCCACGCCGAAACGAUGCGACUUGGAGGGUGGGCCCUUGAGGCGGGCUUCCGGAGCAACGCGUAAGCGACCGCCUGGGGAGACGGCCGAAGGUAAAACUCAAAGAAUUGACGGGGGCCGACAAGCGGGGAGCAGGGGAAA
rnacentral:rRNA from 1 species